CCUACGGGUGGCUGCAGUGGGGAAUAUUGCACAAUGGGGGGAACCCUGAUGCAGCAACGCCGCGUGAGUGAAGAAGUCUUUCGGUAUGUAAAGCUCUAUCAGCAGGGAAGAAGAAAGACGCUACCUGACUAUGACGCCCCGGCUAACUACGUGCCAGCAGCCGCGGUAAGACGUAGGGGGCAAGGGUUAUCCGGAUUUACGGGGUGUAAAGGGAGCGUAGAGGGGUGGGCAAGUCAGUUGUGAAAGCGUGUGGCGCAACCGUGGAACUGCAAUGGAAACUGGAAGGGUGGAGUCCAGAUGAGGUAGGCGGAAUUCGUGGUGUAGCGGUGAAAGGAGGAGAUAUCACGAAGAACACCGAUUGAGAAGGCAGCCUACUAAAAUGCAACUGACAUGGAUGCUCGAAAGUGGGGGGAGCAAACAGGAUUAGAUACCCGUGUAGUC
rnacentral:rRNA from 1 species